UGCUUCUUCUGAUGGCGACCGGCGCACGGGUGCGUAACGCGUAUCCAAUCUACCGCAUACUCGGGGAUAGCCUUGCGAAAGUAAGAUUAAUACCCGAUGUUGUGUAUUGCCCGCAUGGGCGAUGUACCAAAGAAUUUCGGUAUGCGAUGAGGAUGCGUCCCAUUAGGUAGUUGGUGAGGUAACGGCUCACCAAGCCUCCGAUGGGUAGGGGUUCUGAGAGGAAGAUCCCCCACACUGGAACUGAGACACGGUCCAGACUCCUACGGGAGGCAGCAGUGAGGAAUAUUGGUCAAUGGGCGAGAGCCUGAACCAGCCAAGUAGCGUGCAGGAUGACGGCCCUCUGGGUUGUAAACUGCUUUUAUACGGGGGUAAAAAACGCCACGUGUGGCGUCUUGCAAGUACCGUAAGAAAAAGGACCGGCUAAUUCCGUGCCAGCAGCCGCGGUAAUACGGAAGGUUCGGGCGUUAUCCGGAUUUAUUGGGUUUAAAGGGAGCGUAGGCGGGUGUUUAAGUCAGCUGUGAAAGUUUGAGGCUCAACCUUAAAAUUGCAGUUGAUACUGGAUACCUUGAGUGUGCGC
rnacentral:rRNA from 1 species